AGGCAUGGCGCAGCUACACAUGCAGUCGGGCGGUAACAGGGGGAAGCUUGCUUCUCUGCUGACGAGCGGCGGACGGGUGAGUAAUGUAUGGGGAUCUGCCUGAUGGCGGGGGAUAACUACUGGAAACGGUAGCUAAUACCGCAUAAUGUCUUCGGACCAAAGCGGGGGACCUCCGGGCCUCGCGCCAUCAGAUGAACCCAUAUGGGAUUAGCUAGUAGGUGAGGUAACGGCUUACCUAGGCGACGAUCCCUAGCUGGUCUGAGAGGAUGAUCAGCCACACUGGGACUGAGACACGGCCCAGACUCCUACGGGAGGCAGCAGUGGGGAAUAUUGCACAAUGGGCGCAAGCCUGAUGCAGCCAUGCCGCGUGUAUGAAGAAGGCCUUCGGGUUGUAAAGUACUUUCAGUCGGGAGGAAGGUGUCAAGGUUAAUAACCUUGGCAAUUGACGUUACCGACAGAAGAAGCACCGGCUAACUCCGUGCAGCAGCCGCUA
rnacentral:rRNA from 1 species